GCGGAGGAUCAUUACCGAGUUUUCAACUCCCAAACCCCUGUGAACAUACCAUACUGUUGCCUCGGCGGUGCCUGUUCCGACAGCCCGCCAGAGGACCCCAAACCCAAAUUUCUUUGAGACGUAUUCUGAGUAACCGAGUAAAUAAAUCAAAACUUUCAACAACGGAUCUCUUGGUUCUGGCAUCGAUGAAGAACGCAGGCGAAAUGCGAUAAGUAAUGUGAAUUGCAGAAUUCAGUGAAUCAUCGAAUCUUUGAACGCACAUUGCGCCCGCCAGUAUUCUGGCGGGCAUGCCUGUUCGAGCGUCAUUUCAACCCUCAAGCCCCCGGGCUUGGUGUUGGGGAUCGGCGUAGCCUCUGCGCCCGCCGUCCCCCAAAUUUAGUGGCGGUCACGUUGUAACUUCCUCUGCGUAGUAGCACACUUACCACUGGGAAUCAGCGAGGCCACGCCGUAAAACACCCAACUUUAGAAUGUUUGACCUCGAAUCAGGUAGGACUACCCGCUGAACUUAAGCA
rnacentral:rRNA from 1 species